rnacentral:rRNA from 1 species
AAUGAACGCUGGCGGCGUGCUUUACACAUGCAAGUCGAGCGAGGCGUGUAGCAAUACACAGUCGAGCGGCGAACGGGUGAGUAACGCGUGGAUUAUCUGCCCUGAGGUGGGGGAUAACCCGGGGAAACUCGGGCUAAUACCGCAUAUGACCGUGAGGUCAAAGGGGGUCGCAAGAUCUCUCGCCAUAGGAGGAGUCCGCGUUCGAUUAGCUAGUUGGUAGGGUAAUGGCCUACCAAGGCGACGAUCGAUAGCCGGCCUGAGAGGGUGAUCGGCCACACUGGAACUGAGACACGGGUCCAGACUCCUACGGGAGGCAGCAGUGGGGAAUUUUUUGCGCAAUGGGCUAACGCCUGACGCAGCAACGCCGCGUGGAGGAUGAAGGUCCUUGGGAUUGUAAACUACCUGUCAGCAGGGAAAAAGACAACUCAACCUCAUACGUUGAGAAAGUUGAUUGUACCUGCAGAGGAAGCCCCGGCUAACUC